rnacentral:lncRNA from 1 species
ACAGAACAAGGCACAAGAGACUAUUUUGGUUAGGCAGGGACUAGGCUCAUAGAAGUGACACCCCAGCAGGGAGCAAGGGUUGUGUUGGGACAGCCCUGUGGGUUCCUAGGGGUGAAUCAGUCCAGGAAGAGGAAGCCCGAGCACAGAGCAUGAAUGGAAACUGUAAGUGUCAAGAACAGCCAGGGGCUAAGUGUGGCCGAGCAGAAGGAACGAGGAUGCAGUCGGGGACUUGCGGCUCUGCAGGUCACCAUUUUAAAACCUGGUCCGAUCUGGCAAGCCACUGCGGGGGUUCUGAGAGGGGACCGGUAUAUUAGCUUCCUGUUCCUGCUGCUACCACAGAUUUCGUUAAUUAAAACAGCAUGAACUUAU